CGUAACGCGUAUGUAACCUACCUAUAACAGGGGCAUAACACUGAGAAAUUGGUACUAAUUCCCCAUAAUAUUCGGAGAGGCAUCUCUCCGGGUUGAAAACUCCGGUGGUUAUAGAUGGACAUGCGUUGUAUUAGCUAGUUGGUGAGGUAACGGCUCACCAAGGCAACGAUACAUAGGGGGGCUGAGAGGUUAACCCCCCCACACUGGUACUGAGACACGGACCAGACUCCUACGGGAGGCAGCAUG
rnacentral:rRNA from 1 species